UAUACAUAUGAACGAUUUGGUGUCUUAAUGACUUAAAAGGGAAGUUGGUGAAAUGCCAACGCGGUCCCGCCACUGUAUAUGGGAGCUGACGGCUGUGUACCACUGUAUGAGAUAUGGGAAGGUGCCGUUGACGAUGACCAUGAGCCAGGAGACCUGCCAGAAUUCGUACACCUGUA
rnacentral:ncRNA from 1 species